rnacentral:rRNA from 1 species
UACGGAGGGUGCGAACGUUAAUCGGAAUCACUGGGCGUAAAGCGCGCGUAGGCGGUUUGUUAAGUGGGAUGUGAAAUCCCCGGGCUUAACCUGGGAAUUGCAUUUCAAACUGGCCGACUAGAGUACGGUAGAGGGAGGUAGAAUUUCCUGUGUAGCGGUGAAAUGCGUAGAUAUAGGAAGGAAUACCAGUGGCGAAGGCGGCCUCCUGGAUCGAUACUGACGCUGAGGCGCGAAAGCGUGGGGAGCAAACCGG